rnacentral:rRNA from 1 species
CCUGGCCGAUCCUGCCAGUGGUCAUAUGCUUGUCUCAAAGAUUAAGCCAUGCAUGUUUAAGCAGAUGCCGCACAACGGUAAAGCCGCGAAUGGCUCAUUACAACAGCCGUCGUUUCUUGGAUCUCUAAUUUUACUUGGAUAACUGUGGUAAUUCUAGAGCUAAUACACGCACUGAAGCUCUGACCUUACGGGACGAGCGCAUUUAUUAGAACAAAACCAAUCGGGUUCUGCCCGUUCGUUGGUGACUCUGAAUAACUCUGCUGAUCGCACGGUCUCGCACCGGCGACGUAUCUUUCAAGUGUCAGCCUUAUCAACUUUCGAUGGUAGUUUAUGUGCCUACCAUGGUUGUAACGGGUAACGGAGAAUAAGGGUUCGACUCCGGAGAGGGAGCCUGAGAAACGGCUACCACUUCCAAGGAAGGCAGCAGGCGCGCAAAUUACCCACUCUCGGCACGAGGAGGUAGUGACGAAAAAUAACGAGACGGAUCUCUUUGAGGCCCGUUAUCGGAAUGAGAACAAUUUAAAUCCUUUAACGAGGAUCUAGCGGAGGGCAAGUCUGGUGCCAGCAGCCGCGGUAAUUCCAGCUCCGCAGGUGUAUAUCUAUGCUGCUGCGGUUAAAAAGCUCGUAGUUGGAUCUGCGUGCUCGGAACCGGUUGGCUCACUGAGUUCAAACUGGUCUCCGGCGCUUUAUUGGCUGGUUUUCCCUUGAUGCUCUUAACCGGGUGUCUUGGGUGGCUAGCACGUUUACUUUGAAAAAAUUAGAGUGCUCAAUACAGGCGCAAAGCCUUGAAUAGUGGUGCAUGGAAUAAUAGAAUAGGACCUCGGCUCUAUUUUGUUGGUUUUCGGAACGCGAGGUAAUGAUUAAGAGGGACAGACGGGGGCAUUCGUAUUGCGACGUUAGAGGUGAAAUUCUUGGAUCGUCGCAAGACGGACGACUGCGAAAGCAUUUGCCAAGAAUGUUUUCAUUAAUCAAGAACGAAAGUUAGAGGUUCGAAGGCGAUCAGAUACCGCCCUAGUUCUAACCGUAAACGAUGCCAACUAGCGAUCCGCAGGCGUUAAACAACGACCUUGCGGGCAGCUUCCCGGAAACGAAAGUGUUCGGGUUCCGGGGGAAGUAUGGUUGCAAAGCUGAAACUUAAAGGAAUUGACGGAAGGGCACCACCAGGAGUGGAGCCUGCGGCUUAAUUUGACCCAACACGGGAAAACUCACCUGGCCCGGACACCGUAAGGAUUGACAGAUUGAGAGCUCUUUCUUGAUUCGGUGGGUGGUGGUGCAUGGCCGUUCUUAGUUGGUGGAGCGAUUUGUCUGGUUUAUUCCGAUAAC